rnacentral:lncRNA from 1 species
UCGAGACCAGCCUGACCAACAUGGAGAAACCCCGUCUCUACUAAAAAUACAAAAUUAGCCGGGCGUGGGGUGGCGCAUGCCUGUAAUUCCAGCUACUCCUGAGGCUGUGGCAGCAGAAUCGCUUGAACCCGGGAGACAGAGGUUGCAGUGAGUUGAGAUCAAGCCAUCGCACUCCAGCCUGGGCAACAGAGUGAGACUCUGUCAAAAAAGAAAGUGUGGUACAUCUAUACUAAUGGAGUACUAUUUAGCCGUCAAAGAAAAAAAAGAAAAGAAAAAGAAAGAGAAAGAAAGAAAGAAGGAAAGAAAGAAAGAAAAAGAAAAUGAAGGCGAUUGUCAACAGCCUCUGGAAAUACAGAGCAGGGUCCAGAAAUGGCCCCUUCUUAGAUGGCGGGCUGGACAGUGCUGCUCCUUCUUAGCCACUGGCGGCAGAAAGACAAAGCCUGGUAAUUGUUCUUGGGAUUCUCCCUGUCACCUCUCCUUGUAGGUCACAAGCUUCCUGAUGCGACAGCCCGUGGGACUACUAGAAGGAAAGAUACUCCUUUUCCCAUUUUACAGAUCAGGAAACUGAGACUGGACAGAAACACCACCAGGAUUGAACUGUGAAUGGAUCUGACUCCAACCCACAAAUUCUUCACCUGGUCUCGAAAAGAGGCCCUGGCAACCUACUGCGCACCAGAGGGGAACCCGCCCGCCGUCCCAGGCCGGGCUCUCCCUGCUGCGGAGCGGCCCGGGCGCGGCGGGACAGGGAACGGAAGGAACGGGCUUGGCGCGCACUCGCCGAGGCCCAGGCAGGAUUCGAGCGCCAGGGAGGCGCCCAUUUCCCUUCCCCCGCGCCUGGGAACGCGGUGCUGGGGGCGGGGCCCGACCGCUGCCCCCUCCAAACGCCUCGACCGCCAGGUGCCCCGAAGCCCGGCCUCCCCUCCCACCCCCGCGCCUGUUCCCGGCGCAGCCCGAGCCGUGGCAGUCACGUCUCCCCAUCCGGCCCCAAAGUAAGAGCCAGCCG